CAACAUUUCAGCAACGGAUCUCUUGGCUCUCGCAUCGAUGAAGAACGCAGCGAAAUGCGAUAAGUAAUGUGANUUGCAGAAUUCAGUGNNUCAUCGNAUCUUUGAANGCACCUUGCGCUCCUUGGUAUUCCGAGGAGCAUGCCUGUUUGAGUGUCAUUA
rnacentral:rRNA from 1 species